GGGCUUGUCCUUGGCUUAUAAUAAACAGUGAACAUGGUUCCUGUAGAGAUGGCAUGCCAUGCUGUAGCCAGUACUCCUAGAUGCAUGCUAUGACUAGAUAUGACAGAUGAUGGAACAUUACCCUGAUAGCACGUCUAACACCAACUCGAAGUUCCCCGUUCUCACCUCUUAAAAAUAUAAACGCAUCACCAGCAACAAGCCUUUUGGAGCUAACAAAUACACUCCAUCCGCUCUGAAGUAAAUGCCUCCGCGGUUGACCCCGAAAGAUAUGCCUGAAACGCCAUUCAUUACCAUGCAAAUCCUUGGCAACCAAUUCCUGUGUGGGAGGUUGCCUUGACAUAUCCAGGGGCGGCAGACAUUCAUCUGCAUGUCGUCUAAGCACAGAAAACCCACCAUGGGUGCUCGUAUCUGAGGCAGUUAAGGUUUUACAAAAUGAAUGCACAUGAAACCGUGGAGUAGUGGUGGAGGAGUUGGGGGAGCCUCCUUGUCCACUGCACUCUCGUCUUGGUUGGGAUCAGGAAGCAAAGUCACUUGCGCGAAUACCUCAUCGGUAUCCGGUUCAGCCUUCAACUGGACGUUGAUCACGGU
rnacentral:misc_RNA from 1 species